rnacentral:lncRNA from 1 species
UUUUCAUUCUUGUGAAAUGUGAACUUUAAAAUUUUUCUGGUUUUGUCAGAAGAGUGAUCCUUUAACUUGUCUGAUGUACUUGAACUUAAGAAGAAUUUUAGUGAAAAGAACUGAGCAUUAGAAAAUUAGAAGUUUUUGAAGUUCAGACUUUUUUUUUUAUUCAGGAUUAUCUGAAUUUUUUGUUAUUUUCUUCUGUUGUUAGAUAGCUGAGCUCACUGAGUUGGUAGCCUAUUUCCAAAGUGUUGGAGCUACUGACAUGUGUUUUGUUUUCCUGUAGUAUUGGCUCAGCUGCUGGGUCUACUAAGUUGGUGGUCUGUCUUCAGUGUGUUGGAGAUGCCCUCAUGUUUAUAUUUGUUCUUUUGGUAGCUGGGCUCACUGAGUUAGUGGCCUGUUUCUGGAAUGUUGGUUCUGCCAAUUGUUUUGUUUUAUUUAAUUUUGUGGGCAUGCCUCCCCUUUUGUUCUUUUGUGUUUCUAUUAACAUAUUGGUUAUGUCUCUCUUCUCAUGGCCUACCACACUUUCUAUCAUAGGAAUCUAUCCUAGACUUUUCUUUUUCUUCUCAUUUCCUUUCAUUUUCAGUGGGGUAUACCUUUGAGUAAGCCCAUUAAAUCUUUACUAAAAGAAAAACUAUUAAGUAC